rnacentral:rRNA from 1 species
AGAGUUUGAUCCUGGCUCAGAUUGAACGCUGGCGGCAGGCCUAACACAUGCAAGUCGAGCGGUAACAGGGGUAGCUUGCUACCCGCUGACGAGCGGCGGACGGGUGAGUAAUGCAUAGGAAUCUGCCCGAUAGUGGGGGAUAACCUGGGGAAACCCAGGCUAAUACCGCAUACGUCCUACGGGAGAAAGGGGGCUUUGGCUCCCGCUAUUGGAUGAGCCUAUGUCGGAUUAGCUAGUUGGUAAGGUAAUGGCUUACCAAGGCAACGAUCCGUAGCUGGUCUGAGAGGAUGAUCAGCCACAUCGGGACUGAGACACGGCCCGAACUCCUACGGGAGGCAGCAGUGGGGAAUAUUGGACAAUGGGGGCAACCCUGAUCCAGCCAUGCCGCGUGUGUGAAGAAGGCCCUCGGGUUGUAAAGCACUUUCAGCGAGGAAGAACGCCUGUCGGUUAAUACCCGGUAGGAAAGACAUCACUCGCAGAAGAAGCACCGGCUAACUCCGUGCCAGCAGCCGCGGUAAUACGGAGGGUGCAAGCGUUAAUCGGAAUUACUGGGCGUAAAGCGCGCGUAGGUGGCUUGAUAAGCCGGUUGUGAAAGCCCCGGGCUCAACCUGGGAACGGCAUCCGGAACUGUCAAGCUAGAGUGCAGGAGAGGAAGGUAGAAUUCCCGGUGUAGCGGUGAAAUGCGUAGAGAUCGGGAGGAAUACCAGUGGCGAAGGCGGCCUUCUGGACUGACACUGACACUGAGGUGCGAAAGCGUGGGUAGCAAACAGGAUUAGAUACCCUGGGUAGUCCACGCCGUAAACGAUGUCGACCAGCCGUUGGGUGCCUAGCGCACUUUGUGGCGAAGUUAACGCGAUAAGUCGACCGCCUGGGGAGUACGGCCGCAAGGGUUAAAACUCAAAUGAAUUGACGGGGGCCCGCACAAGCGGUGGAGCAUGUGGUUUAAUUCGAUGCAACGCGAAGAACCUUACCUACUCUUGACAUCCUGCGAAUUUGGUAGAGAUACCUUAGUGCCUUCGGGAACGCAGAAGACAGGUGCUGCAUGCUGUCGUCAGCUCGUGUUGUGAAUGUGGUAGUCCCGUACGAGCGCCACCCUGUCUUUUUUGCCAGCGCGUAAUGGCGGGAACCUCUAAGGAAA